rnacentral:piRNA from 1 species
GCACAUCCUACACCCUUCACCACAUG